GAUGAACGCUAGCGGCAGGCUUAAUACAUGCAAGUCGAGGGGGAUCAGUUGGGUAGCAAUACCUGGCUGUGAGACCGGCAAACGGGUGAGGAACACGUACGCAACUUUCCCAAAACUGGUGAAUAGCCCUCCGAAAGGAGGAUUAAUACACCGUAACAUAACGAAAUGGCAUCAUUUUGUAUUAUAGCAGCAAUGCGGUUUUGGAUAGGCGUGCGCCUGAUUAGGUAGUUGGCGGGGUAACGGCCCACCGAGCCUACGAUCAGUAACUGGUGUGAGAGCACGACCAGUCACACGGGCACUGAGACACGGGCCCGACUCCUACGGGAGGCAGCAGUAAGGAAUAUUGGUCAAUGGACGAAAGUCUGGAACCAGCCAUGCCGCGUGAAGGAUGAAGGUCCUCUGGAUUGUAAACUUCUUUUAUCUGGGACGAAAAAAGGGAUUCUUCUCACUUGACGGUACCAGAAGAAUAAGCACCGGCUAACUCCGUGCCAGCAGCCGCGGUAAAGUGACG
rnacentral:rRNA from 1 species